AUGUUUGCCAGGCUGCUAAUGAGCUCUGAUGGGUGCCCUAAGCUGCUUCACCUGAGUCCCUCAUCCCCAGAGGUCCCCCUGGGAGCUGUGUCUCCUGCUCUUGGCUUCAUUUGGACUUGCCUCGGAAACUGGGCUGUUGCUGACCCUGGCUGUGACUCCCAGACCUGUUCAACAUUUGCCCAGGGAGUUUUACAGCUGGGCUGGGGCAGCCCCAGAGCCUCUGAAGAGCAAACCUGGGCUGGCUGCACUGCAGCACGCUCCUGCCUUGUCAUCACUGGCUUGGUCCUAGCCAGGAAGGCUAACCUUUGUGGGUUAAGGUCUUUAAAUGAUCUAAAAGGCUGA
rnacentral:lncRNA from 1 species